rnacentral:rRNA from 1 species
GUCUGUAUGAAGUUAUAUGGAGUCUAACCUGCCCAUUGAAAUUAUUUAAAAGGCCGCAGUAUAUUAACUGUGCAAAGGUAGCAUAAUCAUUAGCUUUUUAAUUAAAGGCUUGUAUGAAUGGUUGGACAAAGAAUAAUCUGUUUCUAUUUUUAUUUUUGAAUUUAACUUUUAAGUGAAAAGGCUUGAAUAUAUUUAAGGGACGAUAAGACCCUAUAAAUCUUUAUAUUAAAUUAUUUUUAGUUAAUUAAUAAUGUAAAUAAAACAAUAAGAUAACAUAUAUUAUAUUGGGGUGAUAAGAAUAUAAUAAAAUAACUGUUCUAAAAUUAAAACAAAAUUAUUUGAAAAGUAAUAGAUCCUUUAUAUAGAUUAAAAGUUUAAGUUACUUUAGGGAUAACAGCGUUAUUUUUUUUAAGAGUUCUUAUCGAAAAAAAAGUUUGCGACCUCGAUGUUGAAUUAAAAUUUCUUUAUGGCGCAGAAGUUAUAAAAGAGAGUCUGUUCGACUUUU